GACGAACGCUGGCGGCGUGCCUAAUACAUGCAAGUAGAACGCUGAAGGAGGAGCUUGCUUCUCUGGAUGAGUUGCGAACGGGUGAGUAACGCGUAGGUAACCUGCCUGGUAGCGGGGGAUAACUAUUGGAAACGAUAGCUAAUACCGCAUAAUAGUAGAUGUUGCAUGACAUUUGCUUAAAAGGUGCAAUUGCAUCACUACCAGAUGGACCUGCGUUGUAUUAGCUAGUUGGUGGGGUAACGGCUCACCAAGGCGACGAUACAUAGCCGACCUGAGAGGGUGAUCGGCCACACUGGGACUGAGACACGGCCCAGACUCCUACGGGAGGCAGCAGUAGGGAAUCUUCGGCAAUGGACGGAAGUCUGACCGAGCAACGCCGCGGGAGUGAAGAAGGUUGUCGGAUCGUAAAGCUCUGUUGUAAGAGAAGAACGAGUGUGAGAGUGGAAAGUUCACACUGUGACGGUAGCUUACCAGAAAGGGACGGCUAACUACGUG
rnacentral:rRNA from 1 species